GGCGCACCCGGGCGGCCAGCUGGGCUCGGAGUGCAGCGGGGUUAGGAUGGACGAGGACGUGUUGCACCCUGAAGAGCCUCAUCAUCGGUGAGAGUGGGGUGGGCAAGUCCAGCCUGCUCUUGAGGUUCACAGAUGAUACCUUUGAUCCAGAACUUGCAGCAACAAUAGCAUCUCUGUGAUCUCAGCGAUGUCCUCUCUGUGCUCCCAGCUGGGAAACAUAUUGGUGAAUGUCAGGGGCUCCAGACCAGCGUGGAUAAGGUAAGACUUGGGGGCUGGUUUCUUGAGAUUUUUUCCUUUGCAGUACUGGAGCACAGUCUCCAUCGCACUCUUCCGGUCGGAGGCCCAGCGGAUGCGGGCGGAACCAGUGAUCUUGUUCUCGAUGGGCCACCAGCCUUGCCAGAGGUACACCUCGUGGUGAUUGUCAACAAGGAAAAGUGCUGGCUGGGGCGCGCUGUACAGAUCUUCCUGCAGGAAGGGCAUGGAACUGACCACAGAGGGGGCUCGGGCAGGGUACACAAACUCUGUGGCUGCAAAAUCCCCAGAGGAGCUGCUGAGGAUGAACAGGCGGGGCGCGAAGUUAAAACUUCCAGGAUCUUGAAGCAUGCAAUCGUAGGCUUUCCUGUCUCUCCUUCCUAAGGCAUCCCAGAAUCCGAGUGGCUCGGAGCCUUCAUCACACUCGUGUAUUGUGACUUUGCUGCUACUAUGCAGUCCUGCUUCCAGGGGACAUCUGCAAGGGAGAAACUCCAAGAGUUCUUUAUAAGUCUGGAGAGUGCUGGUGACCCAAAAUUAUUAUUACUAUUAUGAUAACAGCUUUAUAAUAGCUUUAUUGAGAUAUAAUUCACAUGUCAUAAAAUUCACUCUUUUUAUGUGUACAGAUUUCAGUUUAUUCACAGAGUUGUGCAACUGUCAUCACUAAUUUCAGAACAUUUUCAUCUCCCGGAAGAAGAAGCCCUGUACCCGUUAGCAGUCACUCCGCAUUUCCCCCAUCCUUAGUCCUCAGAAUCCACUAAUCUACUCCUGUAUUUAUGGACUUGCCUGUUUUGGACAUUUCAUACAGAUGGAAUUAUAUAAUAUAUGUUCCUUUGUGACUGAGUUUUUAAACUUAGUGUAAUGUUUUUAAGGUGCAUCCAUGUUGUAGCAUGUAUCAAUACUGAAUUCUUUUUUAUGGCAGAAUAAUAUUCCACUAAUUUUUUUCAUCCAUUAAUAUGUUGGUAGAUAUUUGGGUUAUUUCCAUCUUUUGGCCACUAUGACUAAUAUGGCUAUGAACCUUCAUGUACAAGUGUUUUCAUUUCUCUUGGGUAGAUAUCUAGUAGAGUUGCUAGUCAUAUGGUAACUGUAUUGUUAAAUCUUUUGAGAAAUUGCUAGACUGUUUUCCAAGUAAUGUGUAAGGGUUCCAAUUUUCACAUCCUUGCCAAUACUUGUUAUUGUCUGCUUUUUUUAAAUUUAAAAUUUGUGGGUAUAUACUAAUAGUAGGUGUAUAUAUAUAUACAUAUAUAUAUACAUGUACAUAUAUAUAUGGGGUACAGCCAUAAAUUAUUCAAAACUAAAUCUGGAGAUCAGUUCACCGUCUCUUCUACUUUCUAAGGAAAAGCAAUUCUUACUCAUGAAUGGAAAAAUGCUCUGCAGUCUCUAAGUGUGUGUGGUGGAGGAGGGGAAGUUGACUUGCUCCUAGGGAGGGAUGUUUAAUCACAUCUAAUGUGUCAUGAAAAUUACACACAUUUUUAUACAGAACAAUACAUAUUGACUAUUUCUUGUCUUUCUCUCCUGCUAGAACAUGAACUUCAUGAGGACAGAGACUUGGGCUUAUUCACCACCAAGUCCCCAGUUCCUAACUCCAGUCCUUUGGAGUUAGAAGCAGGUUGCCCAAAGUUCAUGAUGCAGAAAAACCAUUUUUUCCGAGAUUUAUAGGAUAAGUCCUGUAAUUCCAGAUUGCUUGGCGCCAAUCAGGUACUCAAUAAAUGUUUGUU
rnacentral:lncRNA from 10 species